rnacentral:tRNA from 1 species
GAGGGUAUAGUGCAAAUUGUAGAGGGCAAGCUUUGCAUGCUUGAGGCCCUGGGUUCAAUCCCCAGUACCUCCU